AGGAUUCUUGAGGGGUGAGCCAUUUCAGGGGGUGCUGCUGAUGGGUUUAACUGUUGUUUCAUUUUGUUUUUAACAGAUAGGUAUUUUUAAGAGAUAGUCAGACUUGGCAAGAAGAAGGAGAAGAAGGCGACGAGGGAGAAGAAGGAGAAGGAGAAGACGACGACGACGAUGACAACUAACUCAAGGAAAGGAACAGCCUCAAGGAAAGGUUCAUGGAAGAGAUGAGUGCAACAGGGAAGAAGAACAUUUCCAUGAAACGAACAGGCAACUGAAUGAUAGAAAAUGCCUAAUCCCAUGAACAGCUGAUCAGAAGUAAUCCCCAUCACCUUCAAAGGAAUUAACUCGCAUGUAAUUUGCUCUCCAGAACAAAAAACAACUAUGCUGGUUUGCCAGAGAUGGGAGAGAAGGAAAGCGGAUUGUGAGGGAGAGCGAGUAAGACAAUAUCUUUUCUUGGAUCAAUUAGUUGUCAAAAUAUUGU